rnacentral:lncRNA from 1 species
ACAAGUGUCCUCCUCUCUUUCCCCUCUGGCUCCCAGCUCUCAGUCCUACCCAGGAAGAACCUGAAGAUCUGGAGGGGCAAACUGAAGUGGGUGGAGGACGGGCCUUCGUCCUGAGUUACCUGGGCUUCUGGAGUGGGGAACCCGAGGGGAGCUUUGGCUUCCACGGCUCCCCGUUGCAGACUGCGGGCGCCCUGAGCCCUCGGCCCGCAUCGUGGGGGGCUCAAACGCGCAGCCGGGCACCUGGCCUUGGCAAGUGAGCCUGCACCAUGGAGGUGGCCACAUCUGCGGGGGCUCCCUCAUCGCCCCCUCCUGGGUCCUCUCCGCUGCUCACUGUUUCAUGACGGUCAACCUAACCUCCUACUGCCCCGGUCGAGCGCAGGAAUGGGACGCUGGAGCCCGCGGCCGAGUGGUCGGUACUGCUGGGCGUGCACUCCCAGGACGGGCCCCUGGACGGCGCGCACACCCGCGCAGUGGCCGCCAUCGUGGUGCCGGCCAACUACAGCCAAGUGGAGCUGGGCGCCGACCUGGCCCUGCUGCGCCUGGCCUCACCCGCCAGCCUGGGCCCCGCCGUGUGGCCUGUCUGCCUGCC